GUUUGUUAAUAAAUGUGUUUUUGUGACCUGUGGGGCUCACUGAAAUGCAGGAUCUGGGGCAGAGGUCCCUCUUGCCCAAGAGAACCUGAUCAUAUGAAAACAAAUUCAAGAAGCAAGGAAUCAUCCAGAACUUUGGCAAGCGUUGGACAAGUUUUCCUUCAGUUUGACAAACAUGAGGCAAUGACAGUGCUAAACAGCUAAAGUUAAAUGUCAACCAGGAAACAGCCAGUGCUGGAUGGGCCACACCCCAACCAAAGCCUCAGAACGAAAGAUUUGCUGUUGUGUCCUCAGCUCCCAGAAUGGUGCCUUGAUCAAUAGCCACUGUAUGAAUGAAUCGAACAUCUUAAUAUUUAUUUGGGUUUAUCCAAGUCGGACUCCUGAUCAAGAAGACUUAUACCCUGCUCAACACCAGAAGUUUAUCUUUUCUUUCCUUGUAAUUCUUUUCAGGUUAUAAAAGUAACUUGGAAAUUUUGAAAAUUUAGAAACGCAGACAAUUUCCAGGGCCGACUGGGUGGCUCAGUCGGUUAAGCAGCUGACUCUUGAUUUCGGCUCAGGUUGUGAUCUCAGGGUCAUGAGAUCAAGCCCCAGACAUAGGGCUCUAUGCUCAGAGUGGAGUCUGCUUGCCCCUCUCCCUCUACCUGCCGCCCCCUGGCUCGCGUAUGUGCACUCUCUCUCUAAAAUAAAUAAAUAAAACUCUUAAAAAAAAAAAAAGAAAUAUAGAGAAUUUGGAAACAACAGAAA